rnacentral:rRNA from 1 species
UACGAAGGGGGGCUAGCGUUGUUCGGAAUUACUGGGCGCCAAAGCGCACGUAGGCGGGUUGUUAAGUCAGGGGGUGAAAUCCUGGAGCUCAACUCCAGAACUGCCUUUGAUACUGGCAACCCUAGAGACUGGAAGAGGUUAGUGGAAUUCCCAGUCGUAGAGGUGAAAUUCGUAGAUAUUGGGAAGAACACCAGUGGCGAAGGCGGCUAACUGGUCCAGCAGCUGACGCUGAGGUGCGAAAGCGUGGGGAGCAAACAG